AGUUUAAACACACACAUGAGAAUCCACACAGGACAGAAACCAUUUUGUUGUGAACUGUGUGAUCAAAGGUUUACUGAAAAGAGCAGUUUAAACAAACACAUGAGAAUCCACACAGGACAGAAACCAUUUUGUUGUGAGCUGUGUGAUCGAAUGUUUACUGAAAAGAGCAGUUUAAACAAACACAUGAGAAUCCACACAGGACAGAAGCCAUUUUGUUGUGAGCUGUGUGAUCAAAGGUUUUCUCAAAAGAGCAGUUUAAACAAACACACGAGAAUCCACACAGGACAGAAACCCUAUUGUUGUGGGCUGUGUGAUCGAAGGUUUACCAGAAAGGACAGUUUAAACGAACACAUGAGAAUCCACACUGAAAACAAAGCACUGAUAUGACUCCUAAGUUGAAACCACACAAGAGGAAACAUGAGUUUGUCUUUACACACACUUCAAGUAAACUAAGACUAUGUUGCUUUUUAAACAAGUUGGGAAAGUCCAGAUGAUGAUGAUGAUGAUGGUGCCAUGGAUCUGGAAACUUUAAUACAGUAUGUUAAUUGACAGCAUUGGAGUGAUUACAGACAGACCUGUGGACAUAUUUUAAGUCUGACCCUAAACAUGGAUGGAUGGGUGGAUGGGUGUGUUAGGGUGAUAGGUCUUUAUACCUUUUUGAGAUUGGUUUUUGUCAUAUUUGAAAGACAAAAGUUCCACGGUUCACAUAGAUCAUUGGUCUUCUGUGGCAGCACCCCUAAAUUACGGAAUUCCUCGGGGUUCAAUCUUAGGCCCUAUUUUGUUUAUAUUGUACUUGCUGCCUCUUGGACACAUUUUUAAGAAAUAUAAUGUUUAUUUUCACUCUUUUGCAGACGAUGUCCAAAUAUACAUGCCCAAAAAGAAAAUACAUGAAAAAUAUGAUUCCCUACAGUCUCUAACAGAAUGUUUAUCUGAAGUUGGAUGAAACAAAAUUUUCUUCACCUGAAUCCAAAUAAAACUCAAGUCAUACUUUUUGGGCAAAAUAACCUUAUUACUAAAUCUGACCAAAUUCUUGGUUCUCUAGCCCCUCUUUAUCAGUCUUCUCUUAAGAAUCUUGGUGUCAUUUUUGACAGUUGUUUGAAAUUGGAUCAGUAUGGAGGUAAAUUUGUGUUUUUUAUUAUUCAAUCAAACAAAAAGCAUCU